rnacentral:sRNA from 1 species
UGAAAAAAGGGACAGCGAGUUUGAAAUAAAAGUUGUUAGAGUGGUACUGAGGAGAAAAAAGAAUUCGAGACCAUGUACUGCGCAUACACAAUCCCGGGCAUGGGCGGCAACUCUUUGAUGUACUACUAUAAUGGGAAAGCGGUCUAUGCUCCAUCAGCAAGCACUGCCGACUACAAUAGGGACUCGCCAGGCUAUCCUUCCUCCAAACCAGCAACCAGCACUUUCCCUAGCUCCUUCUUCAUGCAAGAUGGCCAUCACAGCAGUGACCCUUGGAGCUCCUCCAGUGGGAUGAAUCAGCCUGGCUAUGCAGGAAUGUUGGGCAACUCUUCUCAUAUUCCACAGUCCAGCAGCUACUGUAGCCUGCAUCCACAUGAACGUUUGAGCUAUCCAUCACACUCAUCAGCAGACAUCAAUUCCAGUCUUCCUCCGAUGUCCACUUUCCAUCGUAGUGGCACAAACCAUUACAGCACCUCUUCCUGUACGCCUCCUGCCAACGGGACAGACAGUAUAAUGGCAAAUAGAGGAAGCGGGGCAGCCGGCAGCUCCCAGACUGGAGAUGCUCUGGGGAAAGCACUUGCUUCGCAGGCACAGCUGUUUGGUCUAGAAAUGGAGGACAGGCCUCAUCGUCUCCUAAUUAUGAAGGACCCUUACACUCUUUGCAAAGCCGAAUUGAAGAUCGUUUAGAAAGACUGGAUGAUGCUAUUCAUGUUCUGCGGAACCAUGCAGUGGGCCCAUCCACAGCUAUGCCUGGUGGUCAUGGGGACAUGCAUGGAAUCAUUGGACCUUCUCAUAAUGGAGCCAUGGGUGGUCUGGGCUCAGGGUAUGGAACCGGCCUUCUUUCAGCCAACAGACAUUC